GACGAACGCUGGCGGCGUGCCUAAUACAUGCAAGUCGAGCGCUGAAGGUUGGUACUUGUACCAACUGGAUGAGCAGCGAACGGGUGAGUAACGCGUGGGGAAUCUGCCUUUGAGCGGGGGAUAACAUCUGGAAACGAAUGCUAAUACCGGAUAAAAACUUUAAACACAUGGUUUAAGUGUGAAAGAUGGAAUUGCAUCAACUAAUGAUGAUCCCGCGUUGGAUUAGGUAGUUGGUGAGGUAAAGGGGCACCCAGGGGAUGAAAGAUAGCCGGCCUGAGGGGGUGAUCGGCCACAUCGGGACUGAGACACGGCCCAAACUCCUACGGGAGGCAGCAGGAGGGGAACUUCGGCAAUGGAUGGAAAGCUUGACGAACAACGCCGGCUGAGGGGAGGAGGUUUUCGGGUCGUUAAACUCCUUUUGUAGGGAAGAACGUAGUUGAGAGUUGAAAGCUCAUCAAGUGACGGUAACUACUCAGAAAGGGACGGCUAACUACGUG
rnacentral:rRNA from 1 species